CACCGCCCGUCACCACCAUGGGAGUCGAUUAGCUUCCACGAAGUGCCUGAGCCAACCGACAAGGAGGCAGGGCCCAAGGAGUGAUCGGUUAACGUGGGUG
rnacentral:rRNA from 1 species